rnacentral:rRNA from 1 species
GAUGAACGCUGGCGGCGUGCCUAAUACAUGCAAGUCGAGCGAACAGACGAGGAACUUGCUCCUCUGACGUUAGCGGCGGACGGGUGAGUAACACGUGGAUAACCUACCUAUAAGACUGGGAUAACUUCGGGAAACCGGAGCUAAUACCGGAUAAUAUAUUGAACCGCAUGGUUCAAUAGUGAAAGACGGUUUUGCUGUCACUUAUAGAUGGAUCCGCGCCGCAUUAGCUAGUUGGUAAGGUAACGGCUUACCAAGGCAACGAUGCGUAGCCGACCUGAGAGGGGGAUCGGCCACACUGGAACUGAGACACGGUCCAGACUCCUACGGGAGGCAGCAGUAGGGAAUCUUCCGCAAUGGGCGAAAGCCUGACGGAGCAACGCCGCGUGAGUGAUGAAGGUCUUCGGAUCGUAAAACUCUGUUAUUAGGGAAGAAUAAAUGUGUAAGUAACUAUGCACGUCUUGACGGUACCUAAUCAGAAAGCCACGGCUAACUACGUG